rnacentral:tRNA from 1 species
GGCCCGGUGGCGCAAUGGCGGCGCGCCUGACUGUCUAUCAGGAGGAUGUGGGUUCGAGUCCCAUUCGGGUCG